rnacentral:rRNA from 1 species
CACGUAGGGGGCGAGCGUUGUCCGGAUUUAUUGGGCGUAAAGAGCUCGUAGGCGGCUCAGUAAGUCGGGUGUGAAAACUCCAGGCUCAACCUGGAGACGCCACCCGAUACUGCUGUGGCUAGAGUCCGGUAGGGGAGCAUGGAAUUCCUGGUGUAGCGGUGAAAUGCGCAGAUAUCAGGAGGAACACCAGUGGCGAAGGCGGUGCUCUGGGCCGGAACUGACGCUGAGGAGCGAAAGCGUGGGGAGCAAACAGGAUUAGAUACCCUGGUAGUCCACGCCGUAAACGUUGGGUACUAGGUGUGGGGCCUUAUCAACGGGCUCUGUGCCGAAGCUAACGCAUUAAGUACCCCGCCUGGGGAGUACGGCCGCAAGGCUAAA